GCGGGUGUGGCGGAAUUGGUAGACGCGCCGGAUUCAAAAUCCGGUUCCUUUGGAGUGUCGGUUCAAGUCCGACUACCCGUACCA
rnacentral:tRNA from 1 species